GACAAACACGGUGAUUCUGGUCGGAGCCGUGGCUACGUGAUUCUGGCCCGCGUGCAUCCAUAGUCAGAGGACGCCGAGCCUUCCUCGCUGCCAGCAACAUCAGCUCGUCUCGGCAUGAGGUUGAGCAUGGCAAUAAUGUACAGUUUGAACUUCGUGCUGGCAGAACUUUUUCGUCUUGAAGCAUUCUGUGAAUUACACCAUGAAUAGCAAGAACAUCAGGCCAUUUGAGAGAAGGGGUGUCCUGGAGUUCUCCCUAAAUCUUACUGCAUUCUUAGUGAUAAUGAGGAAUUAUUAUUCACUUGAGAAAAUAAAGAUUAAAACGGUGAGGCUCUCAAAAGUGAAAUGACUUUCUGAGCUGGACAUUGACCUUUUUUUGAGCUAGAUAUUGACUUUCUGAGUAGCACAAUAUAGGUCCUAUCUGAAGCCUUUUACGUGCCUGUUAUAAUGAUCUUUUUAUUUUCCUUUGCAUAUUAACUAGAGAAUAUUAUUGUCUGCUAUAACUGCUGAAAGAUGUCAUAUUCCUUUGUUAUAAUGCUGUUUGCAGUAGGAGGUGUACGCCUCUCAUUCAAAGAAGAGGCUCAACAAUCUUUUGGAUGGACUUAUGAUUACCACAUAUAUGAUCUUAUGAAGCAGGAGUUGAGAACUACAAAAUCCAUCUAUUCCUAGAAUGGAGCUGGUUGAAGUUGGGCCUUCAAUGGACCUGGUAGUUAGGUGGCACCGACGUUUAGUAAAGCCAAUUUUUUAUGAGGAAAUGCACCAAAAAAAGUUUAGUGGAAGUGGAUUAGAUUGUUUGUGGUCAUAUGCUCUUGAGAAAAUUUGCGCUUUCUUUAUUUCUUCUGAUUAUAUUUUUUUGUUUAUUUCUAACUGACAUUGAUAUGCAAAAGAAAAUCCUGUGAUUUUUUUUGCCCUCUCAUUGACCAUUUAAAUUUUCAGUCAUAGCUAUAUACAAAGAAGUAUUGUACCAUAUAGUUUUGUCUUUUCGGAAAUGUCUAAAGGCCUGUUACAUGCAUCAUUUUCUCUUUCAUAUCCUUCAUUUGAAACUGAAAAUAUGAACCAUUUUGUUGAUAUGAACAUUAGUUGCAAGGUGAAUAAAUAGUGGUCGACAAUGUGGCUGGAUGUACAUGAGCAUAUGUUGUAUCUUUGACGCCAUUCAUUUUGAAUCAUUAGAAUAAUAAAAGAGGUUUGUUUGUAUAAUUAUUUUCCAGGUUUCUAAACACAUUUAUUUAUCUCUUUUGUAUCCAUUGCAACACAUAUGUUUCCCUAAAUAAAAUGACUGUACAAUUGUGUGAACUGAGUGGCUGGUCGUUACUGUAGAUUAAAUUUCUCACAUUAAGAAUCUUUGCCUGACGCUACAAAAAAUAUAUAUGUUUUGUAGCAGGAUUAGUGAUCAAAUAUAUCCUUUUUGUUGUAAAUAUUUUAGUCUGCUACUUUGUUCAUUAAUUUUUCUGGGCAUUUUUGCUUAAGUUUUAUUUCAAAGCAAAAUCAUAUCGAGCUAUCUACAAGUUAGAAUUGUCCAAAACAGUUUCUGUAACAUUGUAUAUCAUGUGUUUUCUCUUUUAUUCAUAACAUAAUAUGCAGUCACACAAUUUAUAUCUUGGUUGUGAAUUCCAGAGGGGAAGGUAGCCUUCCAGGCAGUUAGAGCUUCGUCACUUGGAAGGUAGACAAGCAAUGCAAGCCAACAAAGAAUUAGGGAAGCACCGAGUUCGCCGGACGUAGCAGAACGUUUGUCGAGCCAUCCAAUAUUGCCAACGGUGCCUACACCAGAGGUAUGUGAUGCCUCGACCAUCCUCAGAAACAGCCUUGCUAUUCCCCCUUCCCUUUCUUCUUGAGAUUGUCGUAUGAUCGUCUCCCUGUAAUGUGAUGUAGCACUGUACUAUGCACUUCAGCACUAAGCCCAGAACCUAGCUAGCUUACUUGAGGGUCGGCUCUGGAUUUUGACGAUUGUGUUUGUGUAUAAUUUGUGAGGGGCUGUAGAGAGUCAAUUAACAAGUCAAUUAAUACAAACCUGUUUUUCUCUACGGUCCUCUGAACAUACUCGCUAUAAGAACUUAUAUUUCAAUAUUUGAGCACUGAAAAAAUUGUCAAAUUGACUGACUGCCUUGUGAGAAAGUAGCAAGAAUGAACUCAGGAAAUUCUGCAAACGAUAUCAGCAUUGGUUUGUGUAGAACUGUGGAUGUUUCUCUUGCAAGUCUAGGUUUUAGACUAAAAAUUCCUGCAGUUGUUUGGGUAAUGUUUUUUUGUUAGGAAUUAGGAGAAUUGUUAUGUAGUAAAAUUACCAAAAUUCUUACAAAAUAUUCUGCAAGUUUUGUUUGCCGCUGCUCAGUCAAGCAAAGCCAACUGCUCGCCACUAUGUGCGGUUCUCUUGCCAUUUCAUGGGGUGCAACCGCAAGUGGCACACAAGACUGUAGUUGUGGUGUUCUAAAAUUGACUGAUGUUGAUGUUUCUUUUAAAGAUUGUGGUAUUUACCAAUUUGGUCCCCGGGUUAUGUACUCAUUUCCUUUUCUAUUCUUUGUAGAUAAUUUGCUUCAGUUCAUCGAACUACCUGCUGAAACAUGUGUAUUGUUUCUCAAUAUAUUGGGCAUCAAUCCACCUCUCAUGAGAUCUCUGAA